UGCAAGUCGAACGAAGCACCUCUAAUCGAAGAUUGAGAAAGCUUGCUUUUGAUUGAUUCACCUUGAGGUGACUGAGUGGCGGACGGAUGAGUAACGCGUGGGUAACCUACCCUAUACAGGGGGAUAACAGUUGGAAACGACUGCUAAUACCGCAUAAGCGCACGAAGACCGCAUGGUCUAGUGUGAAAAACUCCGGUGGUAUAGGAUGGACCCGCGUCUGAUUAGCUAGUUGGUGAGGUAACGGCUCACCAAGGCGACGAUCAGUAGCCGACCUGAGAGGGUGACCGGCCACAUUGGGACUGAGACACGGCCCAAACUCCUACGGGAGGCAGCAGUGGGGAAUAUUGCACAAUGGGCGAAAGCCUGAUGCAGCGACGCCGCGUGAACGAAGAAGUAUUUCGGUAUGUAAAGUUCUAUCAGCAGGGAAGAAAAAUGACGGUACCUGACUAAGAAGCUCCGGCUAAAUACGUGCCAGCAGCCGCGGUAAUACGUAUGGAGCAAGCGUUAUCCGGAUUUACUGGGUGUAAAGGGAGCGUAGGCGGUGGUUUAAGUCUGAUGUGAAAGCCCGGGGCUCAACCCCGGUAUUGCAUUGGAAACUGAAUCACUAGAGUGUCGGAGGGGUAAGUGGAAUUCCUAGUGUAGCGGUGAAAUGCGUAGAUAUUAGGAGGAACACCAGUGGCGAAGGCGGCUUACUGGACGAUUACUGACGCUGAGGCUCGAAAGCGUGGGGAGCAACCGGAUUAGAUACCCUGGUAGUUC
rnacentral:rRNA from 1 species